CAGUCGCCACGGGAAUACGUAGGUGGUAAGCGUUGUCCGGAAUUAUUGGGCGUAAAGGGCUCGCAGGCGGUUUCUUAAGUCUGAUGUGAAAGCCCCCGGCUCAACCGGGGAGGGUCAUUGGAAACUGGGAAAUUUGAGUGCAGAAGAGGAGGGUGGAAUUCCACGUGUAGCGGUGAAAUGCGUAGAGAUGUGGAGGAACACCAGUGGCGAAGGCGACUCUCUGGUCCGUAACUGACGCUGAGGAGCGAAAGCGUGGGGAGCGAACAGGAUUAGAGACCCCCGUAGUCCCUGUCUCUUAUAC
rnacentral:rRNA from 1 species